rnacentral:misc_RNA from 1 species
UUGUAAAAUUCCGGAAGGUUGUGAAGUUUGUAGACUUCAUCAACAGCUUGGAUUUGCCUUCUUAUCUGUGCUAAGCCUCCUUCUAAAACUUCCAGUGACAUGAAUGUGCGAGUUGAAUCAUCAUUGACAAAGAUCUCCCAUUUGUUAAAAUCAAUCAGAUACCUCCUCUGAAACUGAAGCCUCUGUCGAAGCAUGGAGACCACGGAAUUAAUCUGAUGCACGCGGAGAGGAACAGUUCUUCCCAAACUAAUGUGAAACUCUCUAUCCAACACCACUUUUUCAAGCAGUGCUUCAUCUUUCAACAAACCACUCAAUGGUACAUCAACAUCCACAGCAUAUAGAGUAGGUACUAUAGCUGUGACCUUCUUCAGAAAUCUGACCAGACCCUUCCUUGUUGCAGAUGGUAUAUAAACCGGGAUGUAGACAUGUAAAGCAUAAUUGCCUUCAAUAUGAGGAAAGCUUCGAACGCGAUUGACUUGACUACUAGGCAAGGAGUCCGAGGGAACUAAAGAGUUGGGCGGCUGAAGAAGUGAAAUAGGAGGCGGAGGGAGAGGAGCCAGUGAUGUGGAAGCUGACGGCGGCUGUGGAGGGGUGGGAUUGGAGUCGGAAUCGGAGCCGGUGUCAGAAGAAUCGUCUGCGUAUGAAGCUAGUAGCGCUUCCAUGUUACUCCUUUUGGUUUGCUAAUAGCCUCCCUCUCGGCCCUCACUGUCCACAGUGACUGAUCAGUCUUGUCCAGACUUCCUAUAACUUUCACCAUUUUUAAUGAGUUUAAG